rnacentral:lncRNA from 10 species
UUAAAGGCCACGUUGUAGCUCAAUCGGAUAGUUUGUCUUUUGAUGGGAUGUAGUAUACAGUAUCAUCAUGGUAUAUUCCAGGCAAAAAUAUUUAACUUGAAUCUGUCAAGCCUUUGCAUCUAACACAGUUUAUAAAAAAUACAACAGAUAGAUGAACAAACUAAAUGAUGCCAGAGGAAGUAACUAGACAGAUCCAGAAGGUGAAACAUUCUGCAGGAUAACUGGCCCAUCUCUUCAACAAUUUGUCAUGAUAAAAGCAACUGCUUUAUGAAAAGAAAUUUAAGGGACAUAACAGUUUGAAUUGGAUCCUGGUUUGAACAGACUGUCUAUAAAAUGCAUUUUCAGGACCAUUAAAGAAAUAUGAAUGUAGAUGGACUGAGUAUUGGAUAAAAUAGAACUGUAUUGCCAUGGAAAAGAUCAUUAACUGAAAAGAGCAAGUCACGAAAUAGUAUGUUACAGCAUCUCAUUUUGGUUUAAAAAUGCACAUAUAUGUAUUUAUGUACAACUAAAAAAAUAGUGGGCUUAUACCCUAA